AUAACGUCGCAAGACCAAAGAGGGGGACCUUCGGGCCUCUUGCCAUCGGAUGUGCCCAGAUGGGAUUAGCUAGUAGGUGGGGUAACGGCUCACCUAGGCGACGAUCCCUAGCUGGUCUGAGAGGAUGACCAGCCACACUGGAACUGAGACACGGUCCAGACUCCUACGGGAGGCAGCAGUGGGGAAUAUUGCACAAUGGGCGCAAGCCUGAUGCAGCCAUGCCGCGUGUAUGAAGAAGGCCUUCGGGUUGUAAAGUACUUUCAGCGGGGAGGAAGGGAGUAAAGUUAAUACCUUUGCUCAUUGACGUUACCCGCAGAAGAAGCACCGGCUAACUCCGUGCCAGCAGCCGCGGUAAUACGGAGGGUGCAAGCGUUAAUCGGAAUUACUGGGCGUAAAGCGCACGCAGGCGGUUUGUUAAGUCAGAUGUGAAAUCCCCGGGCUCAACCUGGGAACUGCAUCUGAUACUGGCAAGCUUGAGUCUCGUAGAGGGGGGUAGAAUUCCAGGUGUAGCGGUGAAAUGCGUAGAGAUCUGGAGGAAUACCGGUGGCGAAGGCGGCCCCCUGGACGAAGACUGACGC
rnacentral:rRNA from 1 species